rnacentral:rRNA from 1 species
GAGUUUGAUCCUGGCUCAGGACGAGCGCUGGCGGCGCGCCUAACACAUGCAAGUCGAACGGAGCAUUGAGAGCUUGCUUUUAAUGCUUAGUGGCGAACGGGUGAGUAACGCGUGAGUAACCUGCCCUGGAGUGGGGGACAACAGUUGGAAACGACUGCUAAUACCGCAUAAGCCCACGGAUCCGCAUGGAUCUGCGGGAAAAGGAUUUAUUCGCUUCAGGAUGGACUCGCGUCCAAUUAGCUAGUUGGUGAGGUAACGGCCCACCAAGGCGACGAUUGGUAGCCGGACUGAGAGGUUGAACGGCCACAUUGGGACUGAGACACGGCCCAGACUCCUACGGGAGGCAGCAGUGGGGGAUAUUGCACAAUGGGGGAAACCCUGAUGCAGCGACGCCGCGUGGAGGAAGAAGGUUUUCGGAUUGUAAACUCCUGUCGUUAGGGACGAUAAUGACGGUACCUAACAAGAAAGCACCGGCUAACUACGUGCCAGCAGCCGCGGUAAAACGUAGGGUGCAAGCGUUGUCCGGAAUUACUGGGUGUAAAGGGAGCGCAGGCGGACCGGCAAGUUGGAAGUGAAAACUAUGGGCUCAACCCAUAAAUUGCUUUCAAAACUGCUGGCCUUGAGUAGUGCAGAGGUAGGUGGAAUUCCCGGUGUAGCGGUGGAAUGCGUAGAUAUCGGGAGGAACACCAGUGGCGAAGGCGACCUACUGGGCACCAACUGACGCUGAGGCUCGAAAGCAUGGGUAGCAAACAGGAUUAGAUACCCUGGUAGUCCAUGCCGUAAACGAUGAUUACUAGGUGUUGGAGGAUUGACCCCUUCAGUGCCGCAGUUAACACAAUAAGUAAUCCACCUGGGGAGUACGACCGCAAGGUUGAAACUCAAAGGAAUUGACGGGGGCCCGCACAAGCAGUGGAGUAUGUGGUUUAAUUCGAAGCAACGCGAAGAACCUUACCAGGUCUUGACAUCCCGAUGAAAAACCCGUAACGGGGUUCCCUCUUCGGAGCAUCGGAGACAGGUGGUGCAUGGUUGUCGUCAGCUCGUGUCGUGAGAUGUUGGGUUAAGUCCCGCAACGAGCGCAACCCUUAUUCUUAGUAGCCAGCAGGGAAAGCUGGGCACUCUAAGGAGACUGCCGGGGAUAACCCGGAGGAAGGUGGGGAUGACGUCAAAUCAUCAUGCCCCUUAUGAUCUGGGCUACACACGUGCUACAAUGGCGUAACAAAGGGAAGCGAGCCUGCGAGGGUGAGCAAAUCCCAAAAAUAACGUCCCAGUUCGGACUGUAGUCUGCAACCCGACUACACGAAGCUGGAAUCGCUAGUAAUCGCGAAUCAGAAUGUCGCGGUGAAUACGUUCCCGGGUCUUGCACACAAAGCCCGUCA